UACGUAGGGUGCAAGCGUUAAUCGGAAUUACUGGGCGUAAAGCGUGCGCAGGCGGUUUUGUAAGUCUGUCGUGAAAUCCCCGGGCUUAACCUGGGGAAUUGCGAUGGAGACUGCAAGGCUAGAAUCUGGCAGAGGGGGGUAGAAUUCCACGUGUAGCAGUGAAAUGCGUAGAGAUGUGGAGGAACACCGAUGGCGAAGGCAGCCCCCUGGGUCAAGAUUGACGCUCAUGCACGAAAGCGUGGGGAGCAAACAGG
rnacentral:rRNA from 1 species